rnacentral:rRNA from 2 species
UACGUAGGAGGCGAGCGUUAUCCGGAUUUACUGGGCGUAAAGCGCGUGCAGGCGGUUCGGCAAGUUGGAUGUGAAAGCUCCUGGCUCAACUGGGAGAUGUCGUUCAAUACUACCGAACUUGAGGGCAUCAGAGGAAGGUGGAAUUCCGGGUGUAGUGGUGAAAUGCGUAGAUAUCCGGAGGAACACCAGUGGCGAAGGCGACCUUCUGGGAUGUUCCUGACGCUCAGACGCGAAGGCUAGGGUAGCAAACGGG